rnacentral:rRNA from 1 species
GACGAACGCUGGCGGCGUGCUUAACACAUGCAAGUCGAACGGAAAGGCCCUGCUUUUGUGGGGUGCUCGAGUGGCGAACGGGUGAGUAACACGUGAGUAACCUGCCCUUGACUUUGGGAUAACUUCAGGAAACCGGGGCUAAUACCGGAUAGGAGCUCCUGCUGCAUGGUGGGGGUUGGAAAGUUUCGGCGGUUGGGGAUGGACUCGCGGCUUAUCAGCUUGUUGGUGGGGUAGUGGCUUACCAAGGCUUUGACGGGUAGCCGGCCUGAGAGGGUGACCGGCGACAUUGGGACUGAGAUACGGCGCAGACGCCUACGGGAGGCAGCAGUGGGGAAUAUUGCACAAUGGGCGGAAGCGUGAUGCAGCAACGCCGCGUGCGGGAUGACGGCCUUCGGGUUGUAAACCGCUUUCGCCUGUGACGAAGCGUGAGUGACGGUAAUGGGUAAAGAAGCACCGGCUAACUACGUG